rnacentral:rRNA from 1 species
AUACAAUGGCUGGUACAAAGGGUUGCCAACCCGCGAGGGGAGCUAAAUCCCAAUAAAGCCAGUCGUAGUCCGGAUCGUAGUCUGCAACUCGACUGCGUGAAGUCGGAAUCGCUAGUAAUCGUGGAUCAGAAUGUCACGGUGAAUACGUUCCCGGGUCCUU